AGGCCUUCCUUUAUGUAUUUCUUGCCGCAGAUAAGUAUGCAAUAAAAUUUUAGGUACGCAGAAGAAAAAAUUAGAAGUUUGUAAUUAGCCUGCUUUUCAAUUUGUUUCUUCUUGCUAUCUGAUUUGAUGGUAAAGUCUCUGUUUAAUCUUCUCUAUUUGUCUUAGACUCUAUCCUUGCUUUAUUGAAUUUUUGUGCCUUGAAGGAUUUUAUUUAUUUAUUUAUUUACUUUAGUGGUGGUGAUGGUUUUUUGAAGCAGUCUUUUUGGUUUUAAUUUAAAAUGGAGACUUCAUUUUUAGAAGAUCAGUAACCUCCAUCUGGAAGGAUUCUUUUCUCCCAGCCACUUGACACUUAGACAAAGUUGAACUUUUUUAAAAAUUCUCAUGGAGGAGAUCAGAGGUUGCAUUCACCAUCAUGAAUACAUUUGGGGAUGUCGGUAUUCAUUCAACAGUAUCUGAUUUGUAAAUUAAUAGCUCAGCCUCUCUGCACUGUGGUAUGUUAAAGGUCAGUGACCGUGAGUGGAGAAACACUUUGGGAGCUAUUUGUGCUCUCUGGUAAACAGAGUGGCCAUGGCUUAAUGGCAUUAGUUCCAUGCUGCUUUUAGGAGAUACAGAUGUGCAACAUACCUUCUGUCUUCCUAUCUAGAACCAGUAAUCCUCUCUUAGAUUUGUGCAAGGAGGAGAGAAAAACAAGUCCUAAAAGGAUUAGUUCAACUGACUAAUUUUCUAAGUUGCUCGCUGCUUGGCAUGUCCCUUUUUGAUAACUAUCUUAACUAAGAUGCACUUUAGGUAAAUGACAUCCUCAAGCUGCACAGUAUAAAAAAGCCUUCUGAUUAUCCCAUCCUCUCCAGAUCUUGGGGCUGGCUCAGUAUUUUUUUUUAUAGCUAUUUCUCUCGUGCUGCAUGCAGAGCCCAUCUGCUGUAAUGUGGACUGAAAUGCUGCUUUUAUCCUUGUUUGCGUAGAAGGUUGGUGGGUAAAUCAAUUGGAGUAAAAGACAUAUUGUCCCUCUUUGCUCUAUGUCACUAGCACAAAUGUCUUUCUUUUCAAGUGUCUCUUGGCAGAAGCCAAAGCCUUUGGCACAAGCCACCUCUGCUAGUUUGACCUCUUUUGUGCAUCUGGAAUGGAUCACCUGUGAGAAGCACAGAACAAAACCAGCAAAAUAGCAAGAGAAAAGGUCAAGAAGGGGUCUUGCUCCCUGUAGACAUCAGAAGUUUCUGCGAGAUGAUAUUUAGCCUGUCCUGCCUGAACGGUUAAGGCAUCAAAGACAUUAGAACUUCGAUAGGUAAUAUCCUUGUGAGUUGUCAAAUAGGUUGCAAAGCAUGUUGCUCUGCCAUGCUGGGGGUGGGAGGGAGGAAUCUUACGUCUUUCUGCUCACUGAGGUAUCUGAGACUGAGAGCUUCAGAGAGGCUUUGGCUUCCAACAGAUGGAUGUACCAUGCUGUGCUCUGUCCUUGCCUGGCUUCUGACUUACAGGCCUUAGCUUAGAGUGAAGUCCAAAGAGGAACAGGACAGCUAGUUUCUACCAAAGACUGAGCUGACAUCAGUUACAAGCAGUAGAAGUGCCUGAUUUUUUGCUUCUGUAUUUUUAUUUUUGCCUGGUCACAGCCUUCUCUCAGAUCAACCAGUCUCUUUGAUGCAGCAUAAUUACAAGGACAGAGGUGAUUCCCUGUCCCCUGCCAUUUCAGCGAUGGGAUCUGAAGGGGAAGUAAGACAUGCUGUGAUAAUUCACCUCUCAACUUAGCAAGGUCAGGACAAACAUUCUUGCCUGUCUUAGCCAAGUGAAAAAGCCACUGUUGUUAAAAAUCCAGGAGGCAGGCAGUAUUCUGCUGCUCAGAACCCAGAAGUGCAGGGUAAUACAACCCUGACAGCUUUGAUGCUAGAUUAUUUGGUAUAUUUGUAGCUGUGGAUUGAUGUAAUGCUGAUCAGAAAGAAUCAUCUUUGCCAAAUCCAUUGUUGAACCCUUGCCCAGGACAAUAAGCUCAUAUGGUGAUGACAUGAGCUGAGCUGUGUUCUUUAUUGUUGUUAUAGAUUUUACAUGGUCCCCUGGUUUCAUCUGCAAUUUUUCACGCACAUGCGCAGUUCUGCCCUUCUCCUUUUGUAUCCUGCCCAGGAGUAAUGUGGAGCUUCAGACGAGUCUAUUUUCCAUCACAAAACCCUGCCAGAAACUGCAAUUGACUCAAAACAACUUACCCAGGAUUCUCUUUCUUUAAAAAUAGAUAUGGACUGUAAAUUUUGGUGUAUAGUGGAUUAGAAGAAAAAAAUAAUAACUGAACUCAGAACAGAUUUCAGCUGAUAUAAAGACACAUGGUAUAAUGCCAUUCUGGCUGAAGUCUUCAAGGAACUCAUGGAGGGUGAGGCUUUGUGUUGCUGCUUUCUGAUGCUGACUUUCCUUGUAUAGUCAUAUCAGUGUGCCUCAGACCUAGCUUUCUAGCCACAGCCUCUGAAUAGUUUGAACCUCACUGUGUUCUGGUGGUGGAUUAUUCAUGGGAGCCAUCAUCCUGCAUGGCACUGCUGCUAAGGAGCAGUUUGAACCCAAGGAUGCUCACACUAAAACUUAGUAACCAACUAACAGUACCACUUGUUGAGGAAUACCAUUUGAAUGUGUGACUUUGGGUGCUGAAGAGCAAGCUUACUGUGAGCAAAAAUCAUCCAGGAUAUACUGAAGGCUUUAUUUAAUUCACUUAAAGCUUUCCAAAUCGUUUGCAGAGGCACAGAUGCACUUUAGGGAGAUGAUAGGUUAAGAGAAUGAGAAUGUUGACUUGGAGAAUGUGUUGGUAGUGAACUGUAGCAUCAUUGUAGAAGUAAGUCUCUUUCUGCAUCAAACUGUGGUAUCAAGAUUGCUAAUUAGUGGUGUUUUUCUUCUUAGUGUAGCAUAAGGUGUUCUAACCUGACCUACUGGUUCACAAGAUAAAAGCUGCUAACCAGAUUGGAGAUCCGCUCUACUGGCUGAUACAGGUCUUUGCUAAAAGUAUGAUAUCCAUGAACACAAAUAGAAAGCACAUCUAAGAAUUAUGUAUCUGGGAGUUUAAAGGUGGUGGUAGUAGUGGAAAAAAAAGUCUGUGUUGCUUUGAGGUUAUUUUAAAAACUGAAACUGAAUAGGUCAAUACCCCUUGAGCUUUUUGGUCUCUAAUUCUCUUAAUGGUAUGGCAGAAAUUGUUAAUUAUAUUAUUAAAAAAAAGCUGUGAAGACUGUAUUAAUGUAAUGUGACCUUUGGAUCAGUCAAGAUCACAUUUUUGUUAUGAUUAGAAGAUUCCCUGUCCUGAAACAGUGAUCUCAUCUUCAGCUGAAUGUGACAGAUGGAGAGGAGAUGUUAUUGAGCCCAGGCAGUAGAUGGCAGUAUUGCAUUUCAUUCUGCAUUGUGCUCAGCUGUAAAAUGCUCACCUUAGGAAGAGGCCAUAAACUUUUUCCCUCAGUUUCCAUGAGCAGUUUUGCACUUAGAGCAUAUGAAAAAUUCACGAAGAAAAAUAAUUAAAAAUUACAUCUUGAAUCCAUAUUUCUAAGGUUACUCAUGUCAGGUACUUGAGCACCCAAACUUCCCUUAUCCUGCGUCAGCUCAGAAAACAGGCAUUUAUAUGUUAGGGACCAUCACCACUGUCUGUCUUAUAGCAGGGAUUUGUUGAGGCAGGGUAUGUCCCCAGUAAGUAGCAUCUCCCUCUUGGUUGCUGUGAUUUUUCUAGCUUUUUUGGUGAUUUUUCCAUCUCUGAUUGCAUCAACAGAAUGAAAGCUGUAUCAGCUACUUUGGUUUAGAUCAUGAUAAGGGAAAUUCAGAAAGAAACCUAGCUAGCAUGUCCUCCUUUGUACUUUAGUAUUUGGACAGACCUUAUAGCAGGGUGUGGAGGGAAUAAGAGACAGUUUCCAAACAGCUAGAAAUCAGGAUAGUGUGUGUUACAGAGUCUUAUGCACACUGACUGUGCUGAGCCUUAACGUGCUAUGCUGCUGAGUAGGCGGACAAGGAUUUGGGAAUGAAAGUGACAUCUGGGGUCAACAAUUUAUGAAAAUUAAAUACGUAGUGGCAUCUCAAGGAUCACAUGCGUGUAGAGUGAUAUGCCUUCGUUGUCCUGUGGGCAUAUGCCAUGCGUCUACACAGUUUUGUGAGGUAGCAAGGUAAUUGCUUUAAAAAUCCUUGCUAUUCAGGAUGUUGCAGGAUGCUAGCAAACACACUAGGUGAUGGGAAGCAGAGGGGUGCACCGGCUGGUGUUAAAGCUUCACUGCUGCUGACUUUUCUAUAAAUAACUGCUGUCUGCUGUAAUUGGUCACAUCACAGUCCGUGGUGAUCUUUUAUAUUAUUGCUGGCUGCUGGAAAACUCCCGGAGGCGUAAAAUAGAUACCAGGAAGAUCCUGCGCCCAGCAGUGUGUUUCCCCAAGCGGCACAGCAGAGUAAAACAGAAAUAGUGUUUACAGGGAGGUGAUGAAGAAUUUUCUGCAGCAGGAAGGAUGAAAAAAAAGAUUGUACCUCUGAAAUGAUAGCAGCAUGCCACCUCUCAUGCAGGAUAUUGCUGGGUCUUGUGGAAAGAAAAAAUCUUCAUAGGGUUUCUAGUGGUGUGCUGAAUGGGUAUUAUUAUUUGCCUCUGACUUACUUAUGGGUAUUUUUCAGCUCUCCAUAAAAUAACAGUGUCUUGCAGAAAUUGAAAACUAGAGAAAAAGAAUUAGGUGGUUGGCUUGUGUGAAAUGCGUGUGGGUAAAAUAUGUGGUAUUCUUCAUCCUGAAGGGUCUGACCAAUUCACAGACUAAGUGCUGAAUGCUACGUUCCACCUCUGCUUAAAUAUGAUCAGCUGUGGGGUGAAGCACAGCACUGAUGUGAAGCUGCUCAGCAUCAGGAACCAGUGUGUUUUGCUGAGGGGAGGCAGAAUAGUGCUGGAGUUAGAUGUUCAGGAGAGAAUCUGAGUGGACAGGGUUGAGUUGCCAAGAUUUGCUUGGUGUUGAGCAUCUGAAAGCUUCACCAUUUUGAGAAGUGAGAGCUGUAGUGAACCACUGUAGAACUACAGGGGCUUUAAGAUCACUAGACAAUGAAGAGACAAAGAUUUACAUUUGGAGAAGGCUGUGGUGUUCUGCAAACUGGUGAAAGAGAAAGCUCUUCUCACCAUCUGUCUUUGAGGACUGUACACCAGAAGAGAGCUCCUCUGAUCUUCUGAUGUUUUCCAUGCUGAUUUGCACUACUCUGAUGCCUUGCAUAAACAUGAAGGUAAGCUGGUGAGACACCUUCUGCCUCUUUUUCUUAUUCAAGUAGUUCUUCUUCAGAUGACUACUUCUCAUUGUGAAUAAAUAAUUUUGUGAUGGAUGGGAGCUUUAGCUCCUAGACUGCUGAUGUAGAGUUUGAUUUUUGUUUCACUGACAGUUAUUGUUGUUCUUGUCUUCAGGUACCAGGAGAAGAAAUGAGCAUCCUCCUCUGACACCAGUUUUCACCAUGACAGUAAUUUGAGCAGAAACAGCUUUGCCUGCAAAUAAAUAAAUAAAUAAAUAAAUAUUAUAUGAAAAGCUUCAGAUGGAACUGCCAUGUUCAUUCUUGUUUCUAGAGCCCCCACAGGCCAUGUCACAUAUGUGGGUCAUGAGGUCUAUCG
ensembl:lncRNA